UACGUGGGGUGCGAGCGUUGUUCGGAAUUACUGGGCGUAAAGCGCGUGUAGGCGGCCUAUUAUGUCAGGUGUGAAAGCCCUCGGCCUAACCGAGGAAGUGCGCCUGAAACUGGUAGGCUUGAGUACGAGAGAGGAGGACGGAAUUCCCAGUGUAGAGGUGAAAUUCGUAGAUAUUGGGAGGAACACUGGCGGCGAAAGCGGUUCUCUGUAUCGGUACUGACGCUCAGUCGCGAAAACGUCGGUAGCAAACAGG
rnacentral:rRNA from 1 species